rnacentral:rRNA from 1 species
GACGAACGCUGGCGGCGUGCUUAACACAUGCAAGUCGAACGGAAAGGCCCUGCUUGCAGGGUACUCGAGUGGCGAACGGGUGAGUAACACGUGGGUGAUCUGCCCUGCACUUCGGGAUAAGCCUGGGAAACUGGGUCUAAUACCGGAUAGGAGCCAUUUUUAGUGUGAUGGUUGGAAAGUUUUUUCGGUGUAGGAUGAGCUCGCGGCCUAUCAGCUUGUUGGUGGGGUAAUGGCCUACCAAGGCGGCAACGGGUAGCCGGCCUGAGAGGGUGGACGGCCACAUUGGGACUGCGAUACGGCCCAGACUCCUACGGGAGGCAGCAGUGGGGAAUAUUGCACAAUGGGCGCAAGCCUGAUGCAGCGACGCCGCGUGGGGGAUGACGGCCUUCGGGUUGUAAACUCCUUUCGCUAGGGACGAAGCUUUUUGUGACGGUACCUAGAGAAGAAGCACCGGCUAACUACGUG